CAUUCUGCAAACAACAUUUCAAGUGGCUCUCUGGAUCAACACACAUAGUCUUUACUAGUCAUAGGGAUUUUAUUAAUCAUGCAUACAACAAAGGCAUGCUGGCCAAAAGACAAGCGUUCAUCAAAGAAGAAUAUAAGCAAAUUUUGAACUUGCUAAACAAGGACACACAGGAAACUAAACAGGUUAACAUGACAGGACCUCUUGAGUGGCAAGGUGAAGGGGAUCGAUAAGAAAGAUGAUGGUCUGUACAUAUUCAGAAGUGAGCUUGGAAUAAAGAAUUUGCAAAGCACCAAAUGUGACUCAAGAAAGGUAGUUGCAGAAGUAAUAAAACAAGAAAUCUAACUUGUCUCAUAAGAGGCUUGGACAUCUUUCUAUCCAGGUUCUGAAGCAUUUAGAUGUAGUGCAAGGUACUGAAGAACUCAAUGAUUGUUAUGUUUAUCAAUUAGCUAAGCUAACAAGACGUGUAUUCCUUAUCAGUAAGUCUAAAGCAACUGUGAAAUUUGAGGUAGUUUAUAUUGAUAUCUGGGCACCAUAAAAAACACCCGCUGUGGACAACAAACAUUAUUUUU